CACAUUCUUUAUAGAACAUUUGCCAUGGGUGAGCUGAUUAAAUCACAUCUCCAGUGGUUUUAAUGCAAUUAGCAGGGCCUGGCAAACAACUGAAGCAAUGACAUAACCAGUCUGACUGUUUAAAUAUUCAAAGUCAGAGUUAGGGAGGACCCCUGAGGAUGGAGAAAUUGUGUGCUCCACUUAAACAUAUGCCCCAUACUAAAUUGAAUCUUUGAGUAAAUAGCAAGAAGGUAGCAAAAUAUCACCAGAAGAGUCAAGGGUCAUAGUGAUGAGGAUCAAAGAAAAUCAACAGUCAUGCCUUCAAUCUGUGACUAUCAGACACACUCUAAAUGUGCUGAGCAAGUAUCUCUGGAAUGACUUAGACAAGGAUAAUUGACAAAGACAAAUGAGCUCCGUGAGUACAGAGAAUCGCUAAGCAAAGAGUAAGGAGUAGAAGACCUGAGGCAAGAGGUGCUGAUGACACAUUUAUUAGGACCUAGAACCUCUUGGAUUUCAUCACGACAGUGAGCCAAGGCGUGGAGGAAGCAGAGGCUGAAUGAGGAGUAUCGCAGAUGAGCGAGGAUGUUUGCCUGGAGGAAAAUGGAAAUGGCAAAACAGAAGAGACGCAGUGACUAAUGAAAAGGACAAGAGAGAAGUGACAAUUCCUUUGAAUGGUACCAUUAGCUGCAUGCUGUUUUCAGGGCUCCAGGCCUCAAUAUUCCAACAUUUUCCAUUGUUUACAGAAAUUCCUAUGGAGACUUAUAGACUGUACAAAGCGCCAUCCUUGAUAGUUUGCUCUUUGUACAAUUAAGAAUGGCAUGCCCUUUCUAUAUCAUUUUUCAAGACUAUUAUUAAUCUUCUCUGAGACACAAGAAAAGACACAUAAUGAAUAUUGUCUCCUUACUACCGCCAUCCUGUUGUGCAGUUCAGAAGAAAAUCUUUGCCAGGUUUUGCAUAUCAAAUGACAGCAAAAAAUCUCCAAUAACUUUGAAAAGCAAUUAUGCACACAGUUUGUGAUCAAAAUUUGAUAUUCUGAAACACAAAAUGUGUUUCAAUAAGGGAAACUAUUUGAACACAUAUUUUUAGGAAAUCAUUGAUACAGAGAAAAAUUAGAAUUGAGACUUCACUAAAAAUUACCCAACCCUGGAAAGUAUGUGACUAAAUCCUAUGUAAUCAACAACUUGUAAGGUACUAACACAAAAGAAAUGUCUCUGUUAUUGUACUGCUUCAGGUACAUUUCUACCUAUAGGAACUUUUUAUUCAAAUAUCCUGCCUGAGGACAAAUAAAGCACCUGUAAAAGGGAAAAGCAAACAAAUAUACAAGGA
rnacentral:lncRNA from 1 species